rnacentral:rRNA from 1 species
GACGAACGCUGGCGGCGUGCUUAACACAUGCAAGUCGAACGGAAAGGCCCUGCUUUUGUGGGGUGCUCGAGUGGCGAACGGGUGAGUAACACGUGAGUAACCUGCCCUUGACUUUGGGAUAACUUCAGGAAACUGGGGCUAAUACCGGCUAGGAGCUCCUGCUGCAUGGUGGGGGUUGGAAAGUUUCGGCGGUUGGGGAUGGACUCGCGGCUUAUCAGCUUGUUGGUGGGGUAGUGGCUUACCAAGGCUUUGACGGGUAGCCGGCCUGAGAGGGUGACCGGCCACAUUGGGACUGAGAUACGGCCCAGACUCCUACGGGAGGCAGCAGUGGGGAAUAUUGCACAAUGGGCGGAAGCCUGAUGCAGCAACGCCGCGUGCGGGUUGACGGCCUUCGGGUUGUAAACCGCUUUCGCCUGUGACGAAGCGUGAGUGACGGUAAUGGGUAAAGAAGCACCGGCUAACUACGUG